UGAGAGGGGAUGAGACGUUUGCUGUC
rnacentral:piRNA from 1 species